UCUAUUGGCUCCAGUCAGACCAUCAUUGAUGCUUCAUAUGUUUGAUUGUAUGCAAACUCAGUGAGCUUCCUUGUUACUCAGCUAUAAAAACUUCCCAUCAGGCCGUCAGUGGAGUUCACAGCACGUCACUUUCAACAUCAACCAUGUUUUCUGUAGCUCUGCUGCUGCUGCUGGCAGCUGGAUGUGUGAAGUGUGAACAGUUGACACAGCCAGCCUCUGUGACUGUGCAGCCAGGUCAGAGUCUGACCAUCACCUGUCAGGUCUCUUAUUCUGUUAGCAGCUAUGCUACAGCCUGGAUCAGACAGCCUGCAGGGAAAGGACUGGAGUGGAUCGGUAGCGGAGUUGGAUCCACCACACUCUACAAAGAUUCACUGAAGAACCAGUUCAGUAUCGACUUAGACUCCUCCAGAAACACAGCGACUCUAAACGGACUGAAUAUGCAGCCUGCAGACACUGCAGUGUAUUACUGUGCCAGAGACCCACAGUGACACAACCCAUCAGUAGAGCUGAACAAAAACCCCUCAGAGCCUGAACACCAGUAACAUGAAGCCACCAGAGGAGGAGCCCUCACACCAAUAAUGAUUAACACCAAGCAGUGAACCAGGGGAACAGAGCCUUUUCCAUUGCUGCCCCUCUCUCUCUGGAUCUCUCUCCUCAAACACACCUGAGACUUUACUGACCUGCCACAAUUCAAAUCACUGAUAGAAACAUUAUAAACACUGCUUUAAA